GCCUAAAGCGUCCGUAGCCUGUUCUAUAAGUUUCCGGUUAAAUCCAUUAGCUCAACUAAUGGGCCGCCGAAAAUACUGUGGAACUAGGGAGUGGGAGAGGUAGACGGUAUUCGGUAGGAAGGGGUAAAAUCCUUUGAUCUAUCGAGGACCACCUGUGGCGAAGGCGGUCUACCAGAACACGUUCGACGGUGAGGGAUGAAAGCUGGGGGAGCAAACCGGAUUAGAUACCCGGGUAGUCCCAGCUGUAAACGAUGCAGACUCGGUGAUGCGCUGGCUUGUGGCCAGUGCAGUGCCGCAGGGAAGCCGUUAAGUUUGCCGCCUGGGAAGUACGUACGCAAGUAUGAAACUUAAAGGAAUUGGCGGGGGAGCACCACAAGGGGUGAAGCCUGCGGUUCAAUUGGAGUCAACGCCAGAAAUCUUACCCGGAGAGACAGCAGAAUGAAGGUCAAGUUGAAGCCUUUACCAGACAAGCUGAGAAGUGGUGCAUGGCCGUCGCCAGCUCGUGCCGUGAGGUGUCCUGUUAAGUCAGGUAACGAGCGAGAUCCUUGCCUCUAGUUGCUACCAUUACUCUCAGGAGUAGUGGGGCGAAUUAGCGGGACUGCCGUAGUUAAUACGGAGGAAGGAGAGGGCCACGGCAGGUCAGUAUGCCCCGAA
rnacentral:rRNA from 1 species